AAGAGAAGCUGAAUAAUGCAAUUAUGGAUUCUGUGUCCCAUAGUUGACAAAAGCAUGGUGCCUCAAUAGACUCUUUGUUAUGGGAUUAUAUAAUGAUUGUGGUGUAAUUAUGGGAAAAAAGAUUUAGUAAUAAUAAAAAGUAUCAAAAUACACCAAUGAGCAGCUUGUUUUAAAGAAAAGGCUCGCAUGUGACAUUAGGGGCAUGUUAAUAACAAAAAGCCAGGAUCGGAAAGGGUUGACAAAUAAAAAAGACUGUGAUGCGCAUGAUUAAGAAGCGAUGGAGACAGAUUGAUUAUUCAAAAUGCCGAGCCACAGGGACACUUAAAACAUUGAUUCAGCAAGGGUGAAACUGGAAUGAAAUGGUCCAUCCAAGUCUUACUGAGACUGACAGGCUGGAGACCUGGCUUUGAAGUUUUCUAUGGACAAAAGUGGUUACUUUUGUAUUUCUACUGAAGAAUCUAUGCAUAACCAGACGAAUUCAAAGGUAAGCCAUCUCUGAAACAACUGGGAAGUAAGUCAAAAACGUGGGCGUUUUCAUCAGACAGUUGAAAACCUGUUCUACACAAGAAGGUGAGAAAGAUCUUCUCUCUCUUGAGCAUUCACCACCACUCCUUCUCACCACUUACCUCCACUCCAAGGAGGAGAAAAAUUGUGAACAGAACUGAAAUUUCCAAGUUAAAAAAAAAAAAAAAAGUGAUUGGAGAAAAAAUGGCAAUUGUAAGGGAAGAGAGCCUGAAAACCCAGGUAUUCUCACAUCCUACAAAUAAGCAAUAAUAAAAUCAAUAACGAAGCCACAAAAGGUUGUUCCAGUUUUUCAAUCCUGAUUAGGAAUUAAAGUCCUACAGAAUUCAAACAAGCUACACCUUUUUGAAGAAUUUUUUAAGUUUGGGGCUCUUUUAUUUUUUUCUUCUUAUGCCAUUUCAUCUUUAUGCUGAAUUUAAGUCGUAACAGAUGCUAUAUGAGUGUCAUUUUAGGAUAUAAAUUACAAACUGAAAGAGCGCUCGAGGAUCACAAGGCAUGAGCAUGUAUGGCCAUGUUGUUUUACACCUCUGUAGCCAGGACUUGUCAUUCUGAAAUCCUACAGAUGUGCUAACAGCUGCAGAGGUGGGUAAGGAGCUGGAGCUGCCUGCGUGCUGGAGCCUUGCCAAGGAAGCAUUGCCCGUAGCGAUGCUGAGGGUCAAAUGGCUGGGACAGGAUGGAUCUCACUUCACAAAGAGUGGUAGCCACUGCAUGGGGUAACCAGCCAUCCUCACGGAGACAGCUUACGUCCAGCUCUAAGCAUCCACUGCCAAACUGCAUUUGUGAAAAGUGCAGAGAGGGUUUUGUUUUAGUUUGUUUUGUUGGUUGUUGGGUUUUUGUUUUGUUUUUUUUUUUUCUGUUUCUACUGUAGCUAGUAGCAAAUCCUCAAAAGCUGACUGAUACACCAAACAAAACCAGUGAAACUCAAAGAUGACUGGGCCUUAUUAUGUCCUUUAAGGAAUCAAAAUAUCCCUAACACCUUUUCCAAGCUCAUAGGCAUUUUAAAAUGUGCUACACCCUUUCCCAUCCUCUACACCCCAUGCAUGGACUAGUCAAUAUAUGACCAAAUACAUAGGCUUGAGGCACGUUUUAUUUGUGCAAAUGGGUCCACAUUACUUCUGCAGUCCAUGCUUUGCAAGCAUUGUGAUGCUAUAAUUCAUUUCCACAGAAUAUGUGGCCCACUGGGUAAAAUUUCAGUUACACUAGUGAAAAUGUUGAAUAAGCCCUUGGAAGCUAAAACUAAUGACCACUUUAGAAAUCCAAAGGUGAUGAGCUUAUCUGGUUAAUAAUAAGCUUUUUAAGAAAAAGUUAUCAAUCUGUAUUUAACCAAUAGACAGGAACUGGUUCAAAAAGAGUCUUUCCAAUUCAUCAGGUAAUGAAUGCCUAUUAAAAAACUAUAAAUAAGCAUUCACCCGAGAGCUUGGAAUGGCACUUUGAGAGCCUUCCUGGUCACUCAGGUAAAUAAUGAGUUUUAUAUAACCUUUCGGCAAAGAUUUUUUAUAAAUGAGGAGAUGAAAUGCAGAAAAGCUUCCAAUUAAUGUUAAGUUUGGGGUGCAAGCCAACACACAACUGGGAAUUCAGAGUUAAAGCUGGCAUUAUUGUUCACUCACAUGGUUUUCUGUAAGAGCUCAAUGUUGUAUUUACUCUGACUUGUUUGUGAUGGUUUCAAUUUAAAAUUUUAUUUAUAUGUGAUGUUUAAGCUGAUGACUAUUUUGUACAUUAUCUGCUCACACAGCAAACACUGAAGUCAAUAAGAAUUGUAGAGAAGGGCAGGACAUCGGCCCCUAACCAAUGUGCAGCCAACAGUGAAAAUGACUGCAGUGGUCUCUCAUCACAGCCCCCAUCAAAUCUGCAAGCACUGUGCUUGCUCGAAUCUUAAGAGAAAGAAUAAGACCAAGGGAAAAAAUCUGGUAUCUCAUUCUGUCGAUAUUUACUACUCUCCUGUAAAGUAACUCUUAUCAAAUAUUUUGAGCUAUCUUGAUGACUAAGAAAAAAUAUACCCAUAAAGAGGCCCAUCAGUUAUCUUAAAAUCAAAUAAACUGGCAACCAGGAUAUAUGACAAAAUUAAAUGUAAGCCCUUUCCUGGAUAACUGUACAGUCCCCUAUAGAGAAUUGCUCAUCAGCUGUCCUCAACACCUGAAACCUUUGGCUGAGAAGACUAACACAGAUUUCACACCCUGAACUUAACAAACUUCAUUUGUUAUGUACUCAGAGAAUGAAAAUUGUACUACGGGCUCAAGGAUCAAAAAGGAAAACUCCCAACUAUAGCCAUGGCAGUGUUUCACAGUAAGACAGGCAUUUGAAAAGGCUAAAAUGCAAACCAAGAGGGGAAAAAAUAUAUAGUGUUUGUAUUCAGUAGAGAUCUUUCCUGACCUUUGUGAUUCUAAAGAAAUAUAUCCUUCCAAUUGUUCCAUAUUGUGUUACAACAUAUUUUUUGCAUUUAUUAAUAAUUCAAACAUGUUGUUGUUGAAAAAAAUUAUUCACAUCAUGUGUUCAUAGUUUCCAUAUACAUAUGUCAAACUUUAUUUUGUUUUACCAUUAUAAUCCAUGAAUGGAUUUACCCUUUGUUUCUGUUUUCAAAUCUCUGAGGAAUGUUUGAUUAGGUAGGAGGGUUUGUUUUAUGCAUUACUUGUUCAUCAUUGCACAAGUGCACAGGCUAAACAAAGUUGGCAUACUUCAUACUGAUUGGUGGAAACCACGUAGUUAAACAGUGUAGUUAAUACAGGGGAAUGAGUAAUUUCUCAGCACAGCUAAUCAGCUGCACAAUAGCUAUGUAUCAGACACUGCAGCCAUAUAUCAAAAAGGCAUUUUAAGGUAGCUUGCAGCAUACGUGAUUAUCUGGUAGUAUCUGUUACAAUCAUUUCAUGUUAACAUACUUUUGUAUUUAAUAAAAAUAAUGUUGUGUGCAGCAGUCUAUAUACAUAACUGGCCAGGAUACCAGGAACUAUCAAGUAAAUUGCAAACACAGUAAUGUUCUAGCUGAUACAUGUGGAAAAUAUGUCCAGGUUGUUCCGACUUGGCUAUGUCAGGUGUAAAGGAAAAGCAAGAGCUCUGAAGAUGACAGAACAGCUAUUGCUUCACUGAAGAACUUAAAUCAAUUGCAUAAUUCUAUAGCUAUCUCUCCAUUCAACUAUAACUAAGAAAUAAUAAGAUAAACACCUUGUGCUAUUAUUUACCAUCUGUCUUCUGCAUUAAUGCUUUUUCGUCCCUUUGUAAUGAGCUGUACACGUUAUUAUGACUUCCAUUCCCGAAGAACUUUAACAGUUCAGAAUGCUGUCUCUCCAUUAGAAAACGAAGUUGAGUUCAGUAGGAGUUAACAUUAACAAUUCAAGAGCCUGUAGAAGAAAUUAGAAACAUGAGCCCUCCAUAAUGAUGAUAAAAUCAAACUGGCAAAUAAAUGUAUUCUCAAAUUUCAUAGUAAGAAAAUGGAUGAAUAUGUGCAACUAAAAUGGUCUCUUAAAUUUCAAGUGCAAGGCCCGGAUUCUCAAGAACUUGCUCCUACACAGAAGAAGCUGAAUUAGAAAUCUAUCGAGUAAUCUUACUAGUGCAUAUCUGCACAUGUAAAGCAAACUUCAUGAAGUCCACAAUUUCACCCUACUAGACUAAUCCAAAGCCCACUGGGAUCUACUCCUCUGAAUUUGAUGAGUUUGGGAUCAAGCCUUUUGAAGAUAAGGAAUGAGCUGGAAACAAAAUAAUGCCAUAAAUCAGAAUGAGUGGUAAAGAAUUAAGCAGUACAAAAUACAGCUUUCUGUUGUACUCUAUACGAGGGUCAUAACAUAAAACAAAACAACACAACUAUUGAUGUAUAAAUAGUACAGAGAAAGAUACAUAAAUAUUUGUGCUAUUAAGGAAUUAGUGAAAUUGCAGAGCUCCACUUUCUUAAAAAAUACAGGCUCUAUUUUGAUAUCCACAUUUAAGGAAACACUUUGGUUCUGAUAAAACUAAGUGGAUAAUUAAAAAUUAUAAUAUUAAUUGUACUCUUAACACAGAUAAGUAAACUUGGCAAGAAAGUUUUAAUGAGUUAAAGUGAAAAGGCAAUGUCUAAAUUAACUGAGUAAAUUGGCAAAGAGAAAUGUAUUGUAUAUACUGACCCUUUUAACUUGUUUUAAUGUCUGAAUUUGAAUUACACAGAUUAGUUUUCAUUACACGAUAUAUUAAAUUAUAAGGGAAAGAAGAAGUCCUCUCAGAAUCUGCUUUCUAGGACAGGUGACAGUGCUUACAAAUUCAUUGUCUCAUAAUAUUGUACUAAAGUGCCUUGAAAUCUGUAGAUUCUCUGAAGCUCCAGCUACUAGAUUAUAUUCAGAAAGUCAACAUAAAGAGACACAGUGAUGAUCACACUGAUCUUUGUUAAAAUGUGAACAGCUCCACCGAAUAUUUUGGCUUUGGGAAUUCCCAGCUCUCUGCAAUACAUCAGCUCUCACAGCGCACAUGUACCGUGUGUGACCAUCCAAAGGUGCGUGGAGGUCUACACACAGCUGCACAAAUACCUCUCAGGUACAUAUGCGUAUAACAGCCAGACUGGAGAGGCUGAAAUUGUUGACCUGCUGUCAUCCCAAAAUACGCUGCAUGCUUAUAAAAAGUGCCUGGCAUAUCCCUUAACAACUUUUGGAUGAAAUAAUUUACUGCCAAGUUUUGACUGAAAUAACUGUGACAUAAAAGCCGGCAUAGAUGCAUGCUCCACAGGGAAUUGCUUGACUAUAUCAGUUUUUAAUGUAUCUUUCAGUUAAAUCAAAGGUCCAAAUACUAAAUUUAGCACUCAGGGGCAUCGAGGGAAUUUGUGACAUUCUUCAGAGGGCUCAGUGUCCAUAAGCUAAUGACUGCAUAGAACUGAUCUCAAUAUUUAGCUUUCCAUUUGUGAUAAAUACAAUAUUGAUAUUUUAUUUAACUACUUCACUACAUCAUACACGUGAGAAAUUAACGAAGUAGAAAUUGCUCACCCAGAAACAUACUGCAACAAAUAUUGGGAUUAUGUAUGUAAUUAAGAAACAGGCAUUGCAGAAGACCAUUAUAUAUCAUGAUUUAGAAGUUCAGAUCUUUCAACUCCUACUAAAUACUGUCAAGCACCAAGAAGUUCUGAGCCAGAACCAGCUGAAAACAAUGGAAAGAUUUCCAUUGGUUUUAAUAAGCAAUGAAUCAAACCCAUAAAAAUGAGCCAAGCUAGUAAACGUGCUGUUGCUCAGAGUUGCUUCUAAAUAAAUAUAUAAAUGGCAGCUCUUGCCCAGACAUGCACUGUCUCUCCUUCCUUGGUACCCAGUGGAGGAAGACCAGCUUGUGCCUACCAGCAGGCCCACGUAAUGCCCACAGUAGAGAAAACUUUGCUAUUUGAAAGGAGAUUUUUUUGUACAAGUUCUUCAUCUGUACGUGGCCUGAAAAAGACAAAGACAUUUCAGAUUUAUAUGGUGAAAGCGCAUUCUCCAUCUGCAUUGUGGGGUGGCUAAGGUGCCCCACAGGGAGACCCAAGGACUCACUUGAAGAACAAGAAAGAAGUGUUACCGCAAGCACAUCCAAGCCAUAAAGGGGAACGAGCAGACUGGGGAGCUUUCUGCUGUUCAGUCAAUAUACCGUGAAGUGUCAAAAAUCUCUUUUACAUGCUUUUUUCCACCUCCCUUCUGAAAAGGACCAGAAUUACAACCACAAAGCUAAUAACUUGCUACGAACAGUGGUAUUUGUUGAGGCAUGCAGUUUCCAAAUGGGAAUUUGGACUUGUUUUUAUUCUUCACUUAACACUUCCCCUGCCCUGCACAGACGUCGGCUCUGGUGGCAUUCCCACAAUGACAACACACGGAAAGCACAUGGCCUAAUAACUCCAACUUUAACAGGCCCAUGGCUUCUAACAAUGCAAUUGCAGAGGAAUUUGCCCUAAACAAAGCCUACGGACAGAAGCGCCCAUCACAGUUAGCAGCAAUUACUGUCUCCUCAGACGGCUACGUGCCUUAACUGCAGCCAGAGGGAUCAUGCCUGGCGGGAGCAGAGGGACACCUGCAUGCCAUGGUCUCCACGCAUCACAGGCAGUGGUCUACGAGACAGGCUCUGAGUCUCUGCCUCCCAAAAAGGCUCACACAGCACAGCCGAAGCAGCAGGGGAGAAGCACUGAGGAGAACCCACAAGAAUUUAAUCUAUUAGAAAUAUUCCCACUUGUCCUGUUGUGACCCACAUAAGACGACUUUGGACAAAGCACAUCACACACUCAAGCAAGGGCAGUGGUGUAGUGGCUCAGCGUGGUGCUUUCCUGAGCUGCCCCCUGUGUGUCUGGGCACAUCCUUCAGCUGCCACCAGCCAGCCAAGGGCAGCCACACCAAGGGGCUCUGCAUUUCCCUGGGCUUGCACACCAUCACAGCCUUCCUCCUACCCCAGAGGAGGAUGGCCACAGGGCAGUGCCAGGCCUGCUCACCACAGCCAUUACCAACAGUACUGACUGCCUUGACAGCAUGCUGGUCAGCAGGGCAGCAUCAAAUGUAACAAAUAGUAUUUGAACAAGGGAAUGUGUGCUUUGUGAUAUAAAUGAAUGAUUUUCAAAAGGUAAAAGAACUAAAGCACAUUUUCACUUUGUGCUUUAUGACACCUACAAUAUCUUGGCCCAACAAAUUAAGAUUGACAUUUAAAAAUUACAAAGAAGCUUCUUUCUGCUGUCAGUGCAAGCCCAGGGCAUCCAUCACUGCAGUGAGCAGAGUGCACACACUGAGGGGAGGAGAGACCUUAAAGGUUUGAGCAUAAACCUUGUCUACAGAUAGGCUGGGGAAACAUGAAGAUUCACAUCCUGUUAAAGUCACAAUCACCACUUCCAAAGCCACAAAUCAAGUGCAUUUGGUCUUUGCAUCAGAGCUAAGUUGUAUUAAUAAGCCAUAAGGAGAAAACAAAAAGAGGAAAAUGAUGCCUCUCCUGAACUUAGUGUAUCAUCAGAAACCUCUUAACUCCAUGUAAGAGGCAACCUAAGGGUAUCAAGCUUAAAAAGCACAGAAUCAAUAAAAAGUCAUUAAAAAUCAAUGUAUGAACUGGUUUGCAUGCCCUCAGCCAUCACUCCUAGGCACUAAUGCUCUAAUAAUUCUAAAUUGAUAUGCACAGAAUAUGCCAAUUUAAAUUUAUUGGAGUACUUCAAAUUUUUAAGUGCUUAACUUUGGAAAAGAUCGGCUUUAUAGGGCCAAAGCCAUGAAGAAUGAUCAGAAAUGCUUAGAAUGCCUUACAUUUUCACUAAUUUGAAAGAGAUUAAAGGAGUAGACUUAUGAAAUUAAGAAUGAUUUAAAAAUCAUUGGAUCACUUCAAAUUGCUAGAAAUGCUUGCAUCACAAAUAAUACUGGUAGUUAGUACACGUGCAGUGAACGGGGCCUGUUCUUACAUCAAUGCCCAAAUGAAAUCUCCAAUAGCAUUAGACAGUCACAUGCAUAUACCAAAGAGAAAGGGAACUACCACAUGUGCACAAAACAUGCAGGACUUUCAACAGCAAGACAGACUUGCUACCAAGAAUCCCCCCAGUCCUUCCAGAUUAAACUACUUCCAAAAUGCAUCAUGAUUUGAAAUUGACUCUCUGGCUAGAGGUUCAGAUUGAUAUUUAUUCUAUUUCUGGUAGACAAUGAAGAAUUCUGCAGAAGACUGCUCUACAAACAUCUGGAAAUACACAGAAAUCCACACUGAAGGGCAUGGUGCUGGGCAUGCAGCUGAGAGGGAGGGUGCAAAGUCAGAUGCUGCAUGGAAAAUCGUGAGCCCUCAGAAGUCCCAGCCUGCCCUUCGUGCUCUUCCUGCUGCAAGGAUUUUGCCUACGGUUUUAGAAUGCUUCUGCCACUUCUGUUGAUGCUGAGGCAAUUGCCACAUGCCGAAGUCGAGCCAAGGAAGGUUUGGUAUCACAGUGCCUCCUGUGCUCCUUCAAAGCAAAUGCACGGCUGCAGCUCCUUUUUCUUCAUAUUCUCUCUUGGAAAAUAUACCUAGAGGGAAAAAUGUAAGAAGUGAUAUUAACAGCUCAGUACAGCCAAGAAGAGUGCUAGAGAAAUUGAGGCAUUAAAAAGGGUUAAGGUAAAAAAAUAAACUGUUAUUAAGCCUAUUAACAGUUUUAAAACAUCAUUGUUUAUGGCACGAUAGAGCUUGGCUUUUUACGGGUGUUUCAUUUGUACAUUUUACUUAUUCUGCUACUAUUUAACAAUGCCAUGAAUCUCUGCUUUAAGCCCCCUCAGUAAUGCACUGAUUUAAUCUGAAUCUACUAACCCUACUUAUAAAAUAACGUUGCAACCAAACAGAGGUUAACAUUUCAUAACUUCCAACUGCAAGCAUAGAGGCUAAAAUUUUACGAGGGCCCUCAAAAAUAAUACCCACUUUAUUAAGUAUAAAAUACACGGAAUUAAUCUCAGGUCUUCACUGGGUAUUUGUGCAGAAGGGAUGUGAACAGACGCCUUGCUUUGCUCCCGCAGGUCGGCCAUGCCAUGCCCCAGCACAGGCAUCACAUUCAGGGCCCCGUGCUGCUUGACUGACCAAGACAUGACAGAGCCGUCUUUCAUUAAUGUUACAAAAAUGCUGGCAGGAGUAAACAAGCAACACUUCAUGGAUUUGGGUUUAUAAUUUCACUUCCUCUCAACGCUACUACUUACCACAGCUUCUCUGUGAUUCUUUUAACUUGCACUUGGUAGAUCUUAGUUGAGGAAAGAAGGGAAAAAAAAAACAACUUUUAUCCAGUGAGACACUUUAUCAAGAAAAUUCUACAAGAAAUUGGUUGUUACCUGCGGAUAACAACUGGUUUGUUAGUUAAUGGCUAGAGGCAAAGCCAAGGCCAGUUAAUGCUCCAGCUGUCCAGUCAUUAACUGCAGUAAAGACUGAUUUUGAGGAGGUUAUUGCCGUGAUAAAAUAUCCUCAAAAGAUUAUAACAGCAAUAGUGUACAGAGAAAAAAAGUAUUAGUGGCUAUAGUGUGACUGAAUGGCUGCAUUUGAAAAAUUGGUCAUUCCCUGGCGGUUCAUAACCGAUUUUCCACCAGUCAAAAAGCAAGUUGUGCUCUGUUAGGUUUAUUGUACAAGGCAAUAAAAAUAUUGGCCAGGUUAAAUUGUCAGCGUGUUAUGACAUUAACCAUUCUUUUACUGUGCUUAAUUUAAGUGUUACUAUGAUUCAUUACAGAAAGAAACUGUCCUUUGCAAGUAAACAGGGGCAUUUCAGCACUGAG
ensembl:lncRNA